rnacentral:rRNA from 1 species
CACGUAGGGCGCGAGCGUUGUCCGGAAUUAUUGGGCGUAAAGGGCUCGUAGGCGGUUUGUCGCGUCGGGAGUGAAAACUCAGGGCUUAACCCUGAGCCUGCUUCCGAUACGGGCAGACUAGAGGUAUGCAGGGGAGAACGGAAUUCCUGGUGUAGCGGUGAAAUGCGCAGAUAUCAGGAGGAACACCGGUGGCGAAGGCGGAUCUCUGGGCCAUUACUGACGCUGAGGAGCGAAAGCGUGGGGAGCGAACAGG